CACUAUGUGUGUGUGUGUGUGUAUAUAAAUAUAUAUAUAUAUAUAUAUAUAACCUUUGACGUUAUGGGGACAAAAAAACAGGUCCCCUAAAGGGAAACCUUUUUAAACAAUAGUCAGAUCCAUUCUGAAAAUGCCUGAGUGGUUUUUAAGCCCCCUGAUCAGGCUGCACCUGCUCCUGCAGGGGCUGGCCCUUCAUUGAUUACUUUAACAAUUAACAACUGGUGCGCCACACAGAGGCAGCGUGAGCGCAGUACAGGAAGGAGUUCUACAUUUUGUACCUUUAGACGCGGAAGCAAGUCGUUUAACCUAAAAGCCACGAUACUACGAAAACAUGCUGCCACCCUUUCAACUGUGAUAAACCUGAUAGACACAGAUGGACCAGCUGGCCAACUUUCUUGGCCAUGAUAUUAGAAUCCAUCAUGAGUUCUAUAGACUUCCGUAAAAGACAUUGCAGCUGGCAAAAAUCGGCAAAGUCUUGAUGGCACUCGAGCAAGGUCGACUAUCAGAGUUCCAUGGAAAGAACUUUGAUGAAAUCACAAUUGGUCCAAAUGAAUGUGUAAUGCAAACUGAAGAGGAAGAUCUCACCAGAGAGGAAGGACACUAUACAUGUCCUGACAAUGAGAUGGCAUUACCAACCCCUGAUCCCGCCACCCGAGAGACUGACAACACUUUUAAAAGACACAGAUGCAUCAUCACGACAUUGUGCAGUGAGACAUUCUUCCAAUGGUAAAGCUGCCCAGAAAAGGCGACCCUCGACACAGAAAGAGGUGAAGGCUGUCGAGAAGCACAUGGUAUAUUACCAGGAGAGUGACUGUUUAAAAUGUUUGAGGGCCAAACUGGAAGCCCUCCAAAACCGGGAAUGGCAAGCAUUGAAGAUCUGUGUACAACUGCAUUACGGCCUACAAAAGGAGGUUGCAGCUAAAAUAGUAGAUCAAGAGAUAAUCAGCAAGACUGGUUAAGUAGAAUAGUUUUUAUUUUAUUUUUUAAUGUUCAAUGUUGUUCAAAAUAAAAAAGUAAAAAUGAAA